AACGCACGAGACCUGCGGACCUGCGGAGGGAUCAUUAGUGAACGCCCUCACGGGCUUAUAACUAUUCCGAACCUCUGUGAACCGUGCCCUUCGGGGCUAUUUUACAAACAUGGUGUAAUGAACGUCAUAUAUCAUAACAAAACAAAACUUUUAGCAAUGGAUCUCU
rnacentral:misc_RNA from 1 species